CCACCUCAAGCGCAAAGGACGCUGGGGGAGGGGGACCUGCCGCUUCCUCCUGGCUCCAGGGUGGGCACCUGCCCCGCUGCCCCCUCCCCCGCCCGCCGCAGUGUGCCGGGGAGCGACGGGCACGCCAGAUGGCGUGGCUGAGAAUGCGGCGACGUUGCCGGGAGGGCCUGGACCCCUCUCCUUUGUCUGCCUCCCUUGAAGGGCCCAGGCUGCCCACACUGCUCAUCUUGCCUGAAACUGCCCGAAAUGCAAAGCUGGUUGUGGUAUUCACCCACUCCACCAGCGUGAGUGUCUCUACCUCCACCCCACAGCAGAGUCUCCUCCUUCCGACUCUGAUGCUGAAGAUGGAAUCCAGGACCUCUCCUAAGCCAGGCAAGUGUUCCACCAUUGAGCUGCACUUCCCAGCCCUGCAAGCCUCCUCACCGUGUUCCACUGGGAAGAAGGAACCACAGCACAGCUUGCUUUCUUUUCGCCGACAUCUCUGCUUCCACUUGGCGGCGCCAGAGGGCAAGAUACUACUUACUUGUUUCUGCCACCAGAGGGCAGCCUCGGCACACCGAUUUCUGCUUCUCCAGCGAAGACACCGAGCUGGGCAGAAAAGGAACCAAGUCCAAAAGGG
rnacentral:lncRNA from 1 species